rnacentral:rRNA from 1 species
ACUUAAAUUGAAGAGUUUGAUCAUGGCUCAGAUUGAACGCUGGCGGCAGGCCUAACACAUGCAAGUCGAACGGUAACAGGAAGCAGCUUGCUGCUUUGCUGACGAGUGGCGGACGGGUGAGUAAUGUCUGGGAAACUGCCCGAUGGAGGGGGAUAACUACUGGAAACGGUAGCUAAUACCGCAUAAUGUCGCAAGACCAAAGAGGGGGACCUUCGGGCCUCUUGCCAUCGGAUGUGCCCAGAUGGGAUUAGCUUGUUGGUGAGGUAACGGCUCACCAAGGCGACGAUCCCUAGCUGGUCUGAGAGGAUGACCAGCCACACUGGAACUGAGACACGGUCCAGACUCCUACGGGAGGCAGCAGUGGGGAAUAUUGCACAAUGGGCGCAAGCCUGAUGCAGCCAUGCCGCGUGUAUGAAGAAGGCCUUCGGGUUGUAAAGUACUUUCAGCGGGGAGGAAGGUGUUGUGGUUAAUAACCGCAACAAUUGACGUUACCCGCAGAAGAAGCACCGGCUAACUCCGUGCCAGCAGCCGCGGUAAUACGGAGGGUGCAAGCGUUAAUCGGAAUUACUGGGCGUAAAGCGCACGCAGGCGGUCUGUCAAGUCGGAUGUGAAAUCCCCGGGCUCAACCUGGGAACUGCAUUCGAAACUGACAGGCUUGAGUCUCGUAGAGGGGGGUAGAAUUCCAGGUGUAGCGGUGAAAUGCGUAGAGAUCUGGAGGAAUACCGGUGGCGAAGGCGGCCCCCUGGACGAAGACUGACGCUCAGGUGCGAAAGCGUGGGGAGCAAACAGGAUUAGAUACCCUGGUAGUCCACGCCGUAAACGAUGUCUAUUUGGAGGUUGUUCCCUUGAGGAGUGGCUUCCGGAGCUAACGCGUUAAAUAGACCGCCUGGGGAGUACGGCCGCAAGGUUAAAACUCAAAUGAAUUGACGGGGGCCCGCACAAGCGGUGGAGCAUGUGGUUUAAUUCGAUGCAACGCGAAGAACCUUACCUGGUCUUGACAUCCACAGAACUUUCCAGAGAUGGAUUGGUGCCUUCGGGAACUGUGAGACAGGUGCUGCAUGGCUGUCGUCAGCUCGUGUUGUGAAAUGUUGGGUUAAGUCCCGCAACGAGCGCAACCCUUAUCCUUUGUUGCCAGCGGUCCGGCCGGGAACUCAAAGGAGACUGCCAGUGAUAAACUGGAGGAAGGUGGGGAUGACGUCAAGUCAUCAUGGCCCUUACGACCAGGGCUACACACGUGCUACAAUGGCAUAUACAAAGAGAAGCGACCUCGCGAGAGCAAGCGGACCUCAUAAAGUAUGUCGUAGUCCGGAUUGGAGUCUGCAACUCGACUCCAUGAAGUCGGAAUCGCUAGUAAUCGUGGAUCAGAAUGCCACGGUGAAUACGUUCCCGGGCCUUGUACACACCGCCCGUCACACCAUGGGAGUGGGUUGCAAAAGAAGUAGGUAGCUUAACCUUCGGGAGGGCGCUUACCACUUUGUGAUUCAUGACUGGGGUGAAGUCGUAACAAGGUAACCGUAGGGGAACCUGCGGUUGGAUCACCUCCUUACCUUAAAGAA